CCUGAUUAGACUUUGCGCCGAAAUCCCACCAAAUUGUGUGAGAAAUCAAGGAAAUCAGUGUCACUUGAGAGUUCUGCCUCUCUUCCUCUGUGUUUGAGAAAUGCCUCUCGUCCCCCCUGGGGGGCUGGAAGGCUCGGGCAGAUGAGCUAAGGCCAUGGUCGGGGAAGCCACCGGAGUAGCAGCCACAAGCGAGAGAGCUUUAUUGUUGCAAGUGGUGAUGAUUCGACGAUGGAGCGAGUUGGUGGCAGAGCUGGGCAGGGAGGCAAACAGCUCGACCGACGUCGCUGGGAGGGAAGGGAGGGGAGUCGGGCUUGGAUUGAACCAACGACAAAGCCAAGGAAGGGUGAGCGGUUGAGAGACGGUGCCAAGUGUCGACGAGAUUGAAUCUUUCUUUCAAUUCAGGGAUUUGACGAUAUUGGAUUUUUCUUUCGAUUUAGUUCUUGUGUAUUUGGGAGUUUAUGAACAGAAAAUGGUUUUUCA